rnacentral:rRNA from 1 species
GCCCAGACUCCUACGGGAGGCAGCAGUGAGGAAUAUUGGUCAAUGGGCGGGAGCCUGAACCAGCCAAGCCGCGUGAGGGAAGAAGGUACAGCGUAUCGUAAACCUCUUUUGUCAGGGAACAAAGGCGGGGACUAGUCCCCGGAUGAGGGUACCUGAAGAAAAAGCAUCGGCUAACUCCGUGCCAGCAGCCGCGGUAAUACGGAGGAUGCGAGCGUUAUCCGGAUUUAUUGGGUUUAAAGGGUGCGCAGGCGGCCCGGCAAGCCGGCGGUCAAAUCGCGGGGCUCGACCCCGCCCAGCCGUCGGAACUGCCGGGCUAGAGUGGGCGAGAAGUGCGCGGAAUGCGUGGUGUAGCGGUGAAAUGCAUAGAUAUCACGCAGAACUCCGAUUGCGAAGGCAGCAUGCCGGCUCCACACUGACGCUGAGGCACGAAAGCGUGGGUAUCGAACAGGAUUAGAUACCCUAGUAGCA